GUGGGGAAUCUUGCGCAAUGGGCGAAAGCCUGACGCAGCCAUGCCGCGUGAAUGAUGAAGGUCUUAGGAUUGUAAAAUUCUUUCACCGGGGACGAUAAUGACGGUACCCGGAGAAGAAGCCCCGGCUAACUUCGUGCCAGCAGCCGCGGUAAUACGAAGGGGGCUAGCGUUGCUCGGAAUUACUGGGCGUAACGGGCGCGUAGGCGGACAGUUUAGUCAGAGGUGAAAGCCCAGGGCUCAACCUUGGAAUUGCCUUUGAUACUGGCUGUGUUGAGUAAGGGAGAGGUGAGUGGAACUCCGAGUGUAGAGGUGAAAUUCGUAGAUAUUCGGAAGAACACCAGUGGCAAAGGCGACUCACUGGCCCGUUACUGACGCUGAGGCGCGAAAGCGUGGGGAGCAAACAGGAUUAGAAACCCGUGUAGUCC
rnacentral:rRNA from 1 species